rnacentral:rRNA from 1 species
CCCUUAGAUGUCCGGGGCCGCACGCGCGCUACACUGAAGGAAUCAGCGUGGCUUUCUCCCUGACCCGAAAGGGUUGGGAAACCCGUUGAAUCUCCUUCGUGAUAGGGAUUGGGGCCUGAAAUUGUUCCCCAUGAACGAGGAAUUCCCAGUAAGCGCGAGUCAUAAGCUCGCGUUGAUUACGUCCCUGCCCUUUGUACACACCGCCCGUCGCUACUACCGAUUGAACGGUUUAGUGAGGGCCUCGGAUUGGUCUCGGCCCGCUCUUUACCGGGCGGCGCCGUUGGUCGAGAAGACGCUCGAACUUGAUCGUUUAGAGGAAGUAAAAGUCGUAACA